rnacentral:lncRNA from 1 species
GGCAGCAAGACAGUGGGGUUGAGCAAGUCUGUGACAUACAAUUAGCGGCUGGGUGAGACAGCUUCUGACCAAAUAGAUAGUCACUCGAUGAGAAAAAUAGGCUGAAGGCGGUGAUUCGGAGCUUACUCAUGCGGGCGCCACAUAUUUCCCUUACCCUAGGGGCUGUGAAUAGAGAUUUUGGUUUUAAACCUUGGAAGGUCUUGCUCUUUGCCCAUCAAACAAGCAGAAUGCACAAGCUUGCUUAGAGCAAAUGGUUCUCUGAUUCAGAUUUUCCAGAGGGAAAGAGGAAUGUAUGUUAGCAGAUUACUUCCCUCGCGUGUCUGGCCGGGGUAAGCCUCCUAGGCGGGCUAAUGAUCUCCUGCGGGCUGGUGGCACUGGCUGCCAGCAGAGAGAAGCAGCCUCCUCCUCUGCCCUAUCGGUGGCCCCAAAGACUUCUCUUCCACCUGGGACAGUGACCCGCUGGCUCCAGGCCUGGGGCUCAAGGCCCUGGAAGCCCAGAGCACAGGGAAACCACGAGACACUAGAGGGACCCCUGAGCUGUACCAAGGAUGGAACUCAUGGCAUCACACAUCUAGGCAAGAGCUCACUGCUGAGCUACACUUCUAGUCCUGAUCUUUUUCAUACAAAUGAACUGGAUUUUAGACAACUUGGUCUCAGAGAAGAUCCUGUUUCAUUCUUGGGAAAUCUGCAGUUUUUUGCAUUCAUCAGGUGACUUUGAAAUUUGCCAAAUCUGAGACAUAGCUGAGAGGGAGUAAGCGCUGUUUCCUGAAGGAGGAAUAAUUCUUAAGAAGAAAGAAUUCCACAGCUGUUGGGAACCUUGCUGAUUUUUGUAAUUUAUUUCCUUUUUCAUAGUUUCAAAAAGUCUCCCACGAGACAAAGAAGUGCAAGCACUUUCUAAUACUAUAAUUUGCUUUCCAGUGUAUUAAAAUGUUCAUGAAAAAGUCAACAUUUCCCUGGUCUUAGUAUCCAUUAUGCUGCUGAAAUCAUCAGACCAGGUGACACUGA